GAGUUUGAUCUUGGCUCAGAUUGAACGCUGGCGGCAUGCCUAACACAUGCAAGUCACGGGGGCCCGCAAGGGCAACCGGCGAACGGGUGCGUAACACGUGAGCAAUCUGCCGAUUUCUGGGGGAUAGCCGGCCCAACGGCCGGGUAAUACCGCAUACGCUCAUUUGGGGGAGUCCCCGAGUGAGGAAACCUCCGGGGGAAAUCGAGGAGCUCGCGGCCUAUCAGCUAGUUGGCGGGGUAACGGCCCACCAAGGCUCUGACGGGUAGCUGGUCUGAGAGGAUGGCCAGCCACAUUGGGACUGAGAGACGGCCCAGACUCCUACGGGAGGCAGCAGUGGGGAAUCUUGCGCAAUGGCCGAAAGGCUGACGCAGCGACGCCGCGUGUGGGAGGAAGCCCUUCGGGGUGUAAACCACUGUUGCCCGGGACGAAUGCCCCUUUCGACGGGAGUGACGGUACCGGGUGAGGAAGCACCGGCUAA
rnacentral:rRNA from 1 species